UACAGAGGGUGCGAGCGUUAAUCGGAAUUACUGGGCGUAAAGCGCGCGUAGGCGGCUUUGCAAGUCGGGUGUGAAAUCCCCAGGCUUAACCUGGGAACUGCAUUCGAGACUGCAUUGCUAGAGUAUGGGAGAGGGAAGUGGAAUUUCCGGUGUAGCGGUGAAAUGCGUAGAUAUUGGGAGGAACACCAGUGGCGAAGGCGGCUCACUGGACCGGAACUGACGCUGAGGCGCGAAAGCGUGGGGGAGCAAACAGG
rnacentral:rRNA from 1 species